CCUCUCAACUCCCUUGUCUCUGCCCCUCUCUCUCUUCCGUCUCACUUCCCAUCUCUCUCAAACCAGCCGGCCGGAGGGCUUGUGGCCGGCGGUGAGGUGCUGCACGCGCUCCAGCUGGUUAUUGGACGAGUGCAGCAGAGUAAGUGUUGCUGAUGGAGCUCAUUUGACUUAAUUUCCUACUGAUUUAACCCAUUUUGAGGGGCUUCAGGUAGUGUCUCGCCUACAUACCAAGUUGGAGAAAGUUAAAAGACGCUUUCAGAUGAGAAUGAUCAUGCUUCUGAUCUUUUGUAAUAUAACUACUGUUGGAUUGAAAAUAGGAUAUUAGUUACAACUACGAAUUUCCCUUAAGGAAUUUACACCUGAUUCUCACUUUACAUAUAUCUUCCUUGGAACCUUUCCAAAAACAAUGUAUUUACGCCUGCUCAAAUAUAUGUAUGUGCACUGCUGAAGUUGAUGAACCGCCAAGUCUUAUUAUUUUCUAUUGGUAUGAUGUGCACUACUAGAGUCAAAAUUCCUUGAGCACAAUAGCAUUUCCAAAAUGCAUAAUACAUAGCCAUGGACUUAACACAUGAAUUUCUUUUGCCAGCUUAUUAACAAAUUUGGCUACAUAUUUUUAUUGGUUCUUCAUAUAUGCUUGCCUGCCGUAGGUGGGCAAGCGAGCGGCAAGCUGCGCCUUAUUCAUGAGCAUCUUUUUUGAUUUGUCUUCCUUUUUUAUGUGUGAUAUCGACAUGUUUUUGCUGCAGACAUGGCUCUUUCCAUUUUUUUAAUUAUAGCAGGGGCGGCAGGGGUUUGGGUGACUCCAAGCAGGUGGAGCAAUAGUGGUUGGGGUCUUCAUGUUCAUCACAGGUUGUUCAAUCCAUUCCCAUAUUUUUAUUUGUGUAACUUAUUUUGUGACUGGUGCGUGCUUAAGAGCAUGUUGCGUGACCAUUUGUGAGAGCAGCAACAACAAUGAAAUUCUUAUCGGUAGAAAGAGAUUGAUAACCUCCAGUUAUCAUAUAUGUCAAUUAUAUGCUUCCUUUCGACUCAUGUAAACAUCUUUAAGCUACUGAAUCAUGUGUUGUAUGGAACACUCAGGAUCGGCUUCGUUGUUGAAUUUAUAGAUUCCCAAGUUAUUACUUGCCAUGAACUAACAUUUUUUACCUUUUAUAUGCAAGGAUUAUUAUUUGCUCCACAAUUUUGAUGGCCUAUAGUUACUCCACAUUGAGGUAGGGAAUAUAUGUAACAAAUGGUUAGUACUGUGUGUGAAACUAAACAUGACAGUGAUUUGCAAUCCAAAACAUUUAUUGAAUGACUUUUAUAUAUGGUUAUUACGAUGCUUUUUGCUUAGAUCCUUUCCUGAGUUUCCUACUGUAUUUUUGAGAGAAAACGGUUGCAUAAUCUUUUAGUUUCGAUGCUCUUCAGCCUUUAAUAGAGGUACCCUCAGUUUUGCAUUGAAUUUUCUUCUAUUUAGGUGUUACGAAUUCAAUUAUUGAUGCUGCAUUAAAUCCUCAUAUUCCUUAGAUUUAUGUAUCUAUGGCGCUUCUAAGCUAGACGAGGGCAUUCGAGGCCGUCAGUGGUUCUCCUUGUCUUCAGGAGCACUUUCGAAAGGUCUUCAGAUGUUAGGCCUAUCAAGAAUAAUAUCUCAAUUAUCAAAGACCUUUGAGAAUUAAGACUUCAUCUAUAAUAGGAUCUCAAUAAUUGACCAUGGUAUGGAUUGCAACAACCUUUACUUGUAUGUCAUAUGAAUUGUCUGU